rnacentral:misc_RNA from 1 species
UACUCUCACACUCUCUAAUUAGUUAGAGAGCGGUGGACUUGGAUGUUGCCUGGUACUUACUGUGUCAGGCUCAUCUCAAAUGUGUUGGUACGAACUCCUAGUUAAACCUAACGGCGUGAUAAGUAACCCCACUCGCUGUUUUCUGUUUGAUUAAGAGGUCUGUGCUUCAAAUCGUCUUAGGACAAUGUCUAAUA